rnacentral:rRNA from 1 species
UACAUAGGGUGCAAGCGUUAAUCGGAAUUACUGGGCGUAAAGCGUGCGCAGGCGGUCUUGCAAGACAGAUGUGAAAUCCCCGGGCUCAACCUGGGAACUGCAUUUGUGACUGCAAGGCUGGAGUACGGUAGAGGGGGAUGGAAUUCCGCGUGUAGCAGUGAAAUGCGUAGAUAUGCGGAGGAACACCGAUGGCGAAGGCAAUCCCCUGGACCUGUACUGACGCUCAUGCACGAAAGCGUGGGGAGCAAACAGG